rnacentral:rRNA from 1 species
ACCUUACCAGGUUUGACAUUAUGCCAUUGUAUGAGAUAUCAAUUCCCUUCCGGGGACGUAAGACAGGUGGUGCAUGGCUGUCGUCAGCUCGUUUCGUGAGAUGUUGGGUUAAGUCCCGCAACGAGCGCAACCCUUGUUAUUUAGUUGCCAGCAUUAAGUUGGGCACUCUAAUGAGACUGCCAGGUGACAAACCGGAGGAAGGUGGGGAUGACGUCCAAAUCAUCAUGCCCCUUAUGACCUGGGCUACACACGUGUACAAUGGCCAGUACAANCGGAGAAGCCGAGCCCUCGCGAAGGCGNAGCCGAAUCUCUGAAA